AGGUAUUGAUGAAGAGUCCCGUUGUUUUGUUUCUUUCGUUCAUUUCUGAUCUUAAAAAAACUUGAUGACUCUACUUGCUAUGAUAAUCAUGAACAGUGUUUAAUUUAAGUUGCCGACAAUAGACCUGUGGCAGGAAGAUUAUGCCUGGGAUACUUUUAAAUUUGUACUGGUCAUGCUAGCAGUAAAUAUAUGUGUUGAUUUAUUUAAUUUUUGGCCAUGGGAGCUGUGCCAAUUUACACUUAUCAGAGGGGUACACAAAGUCCGCAGUCUAGACUACCAGUUGUCCAGACUUCCGUUUUUUGUGGAAGUUGCAUUGGCUGAGCGGGUGGUGCCUGACUCUGAAGGUGUGAAUUCGAAUCCCG